AUUGAACGCUGGCGGCAGGCCUAACACAUGCAAGUCGAACGAGUGGCGGACGGGUGAGUAAUGUAUGGGAAUCUGCCUGAUGGAGGGGGAUUACUACUGGAAACGGUUGCUAAUACCGCAUACCAUCGGAUGUGCCCAUAUGGGAUUAGCUAGUAGGUGGGGUAUAGGCUCACCUAGGCGCCGAUCCCUAGCUGGUCUGAGAGGAUGACCAGCCACACUGGGACUGAGACACGGUCCAGACUCCUACGGGAGGCAGCAGUGGGGAAUAUUGCACAAUGGGCGCAAGCCUGAUGCAGCCAUGCCGCGUGUAUGAAGAAGGCCUUAGGGUUGUAAAGUACUUUCAGCGGGGAGGCGUUACCCGCAGAAGAAGCACCGGCUAACGCCGUGCCAGCAGCCGCGGUAAUUC
rnacentral:rRNA from 1 species